GACGAACCGUGCGAACGUUGUUCGGAAUCACUGGGCGUAAAGCGCACGUAGGCGGAUGUGUCAGUCAGGGGUGAAAUCCCGGAGCUCAACUUCGGAACUGCCCUUGAUACAGCACGUCUUGAGUCCGGAAGAGGUGGGUGGAAUUCCUAGUGUAGAGGUGAAAUUCGUAGAUAUUAGGAAGAACACCGGUGGCGAAGGCGGCCCACUGGUCCGGUACUGACGCUGAGGUGCGAAAGCGUGGGGAGCAAACAGG
rnacentral:rRNA from 1 species